UACGAUUCCAGGUAAAGUCGG
rnacentral:siRNA from 1 species